GCCACUGGAGAGGAAGAAAGAAAGAAAGAAAGAAAGACACAGAGAGAAAGAUUUGUGACAAAUUAGAGACAAGGAGAAAAGGAAGUGAGAGAGAGAGAGAGAGCGCGAGGAGGAAGGAAGUGAUGAAAAGUAGGGAUUUUGAAGAUGAGUAAAAGAUGAGAGGAUGAGGGAAAGACAGACAGAGAGCGGUGGCUUGGCUUUUCAAUGGGAGGGGUGCAAACAGAGGUGUAGAGACAGAGGAAUGCAGAGACAGGGACAGCGACACUGCUGCUCCUGCAGAGGAGGAUUUUGGAGUAACGCCGGUGAUGGAUAUACGAGCUGACAACCGAGCAUUUCCAUUAACCAGAGUGGAGAUGUCCGAUAAUUACGCAGAAACGACAACGGGUCAUAAAAGACGGCAGAACCGAAGCCAAGCAAAUAUUAGUAAGUAUAUAUGGUAAGGUUUUAUUUCCUAUUUUAAUUUGAAUGAAGUAAUGGAUAAAAUCCUGCAGGUAUAGCUGGGCUUUACAGGAUCACAUGAAAUAUCAAACCUUAGUUUGUUUGCUGGCUUGUUUGAGCAUCUCUGAACCAAGGAUCUUCAUUCUUCAAUAAAAAUAAUCCUAAUAUAUAAUAAUAGUGAGAGAGACAGUCUUCAGCAGGGGUUCCCAAAUGUUUUGACUGCCUUUCAAAGUUGAACAUGUCCCUCUUUUAAACUUAAUACCAACUAAGAAUAUACUCAGCCUUUGAUACCACUAGAUACCUGCUAACUAAAAAAGCAAAAGGAUGAUUUAUUAAAACCCAUAUCCUGAACAUAAAAUUCAAAUGAAUUAUGUUAAUGUUAUGCACUUGUUGUGUUAUUAAAUAAAAACAAUUCACACUUUC